rnacentral:lncRNA from 1 species
AAAUAUUUGGGACAUUUAAAAAUAUUUUUAAGAACAAUCAUUCCAAACCCAGCUCACACGUAAAUUCUUUCAAAUAUUUUCUCUCUGGAGCACUGAAAAGGAUGGAAUGCUUUACAAAUCAAGAAUCUAGCAUCAACUGAUGCCCACACCUGACCCCCCGAAAGACAGGAAAAGAAAAAACUAAAGACAAAUUUUUAUAUGAAUGUAAAUCUGAAAUCCUAAUUAUUAAAUCAAUGUCUUGUUUUGGGCAGCAAUGGAGAUAAACUGGAGGCCAUUCUCUUAAGUGAAAUAACUCAGAAACGAAAAGUCAAAUACUGCAUGUUCACACUAUAAGUAGGAGCUAAAUAAUAUGUACAUAUGCACAUAGAGUGUGGAAUAAUAGACAUUAGAAACUUGGAAGGGUGGAAGGAUGUGAGGGUGUAAGGAAUGAGAAAUUACUUAAGUGGUACAAUGUAUACUAUUCAAGUGAUGGUUACACUAAAAGCUACUACUGAGCAAAAUAUCUAUGUAACAAAACUGCACUUGUGUUAUUCAAAAAAGUCAUGUAAUAAUACAAAACAUUAUCAUAGGAGGAUUUGUUAAAAAACGAUCAAGUUAGUGCCAAUAUAAGGGAUUCUAAAUUUAACCCCUAAUAUAACUAAGUCAAAAAAUUUUUUAACAAAUGAUGAGAUGACAAAAAAAGUCGUUAACUAUUUCAACAUUGAUUCCUAAUUUAAAAUGUCUAAAUAGCAAUAGUGGGCAUUUAAACUGGAUAGUAUAAUACCUGGGGCAUUCCAUUUAAAUCAAGAAAUGAGACAAGGAUAAAAUGCAAACACUUGGGAAUAUACUGUAUAAGACCUUAUUAUAUGAAGGGAACCAUAACAUUUCCACAAAAGGACAGAAAAGAAGGCUUGAAUAGAGAGACAAAUGUUGCUAUAGGAUAAAAAAUGAUAUUGCAAAGAACCUACUUCUCAAAUUAACAUAAAUGUCAUUUCCAUUCAUAGUUUCACUAGAAAUUGUAUUGGAGUUCCAACAAAUAAGUCUAAAUUUCAUAAGAAGUGAAAACAGUCAGAACAUUUUUAAGAUGUGCAUUACUAGUUAUUGAAAAUUUCCCUGAAUGUUAUAGUGCUUGCUACUAAAAAGGAAUGGCCAGAACAACAAAACAGACUAAAUAUGUACAAGCAGUCAAAAUUACACACUGGAUCCUUUAUUCUCAUCAAAAAUAACCUAAGAAACAUUAAAUCUUACAAAUAAAAAAUCCAAUCAUAAACAUAGUAGGCAUAAAUGUAGACAGAUAGAUAGAUAUUUCAAUAAUUGGAAUUGAGGAAAGUCUUACUUAACAAGUUAAAAACCAUAAAAGAAAAGACUAAGAGGUUUGACUUGGGGAAAAAUCCAGAUAGAUAUUAAGCAGACAGACUAUGUGAAGCAAAACUACUUGGCAUUUCUUUCAGAGAUGGAGUUACUAUUAUUAAUACAUAUUAAGAACUAUCUAAAAUAAGAUAAUGAAGUAUAAAUACCUCCAGGAUUAGGCAAAUAUUAUAAGCAAACAAAUCACAAUCAAGAAUAUACAAAUAAAUAAUACAAUUAGCAAUUAUAAUUAGUGGAGAUUAGCAUGACAAUAUGAUGGAAUCCCAUUUUUCUCCCAUCAAAGUGGGAGAAAAGGCUUUUAUUUGUUUAUUUAUUUAUUUAUUAUAACAAGCCUCAGUAUUGGCUAAGAAUCCAAGAAGGGGCACUCUCAAACAUUCCCAUUUCACAUAAAUCAAUAUCAAUAUUUUAAAAUCAAUUUGCAAAUACAUACCAAAAAGACUUAAAAUGUAAAUACCAUUUGACCAUAAAAUACAUUCUGGCAAAAUAUAUCCUAAAAUGUUAUUAUGAAUAUAAGUAAACAUGUAGCCACAACCUAUCACUUUCAUAUUAGGUUAUGAGAAAAACAUUAGAAGAAACAUAUAUAAAAAUGAACAAAGGAAUCCUGUUCUGUUCUAUACAAUUAAUUUCUGUUCAGAUUGUAAAAAAUGUUACUGAAGUAGAUGUAUAACAAGGAAAAAUGUUCACAAAACAUUAAGUGAAUAAGAUGAAUUAGAAAAAUGUGAGCCCAUGUUUUGUGAAAUAAGAUGUGUACUUACUGACGUGUACUACUAUUCAUAAUAUUAUAAAUUUGGAAGUAUAUCUAAAAAUAAGCAAAAGCAUUAGCUUUCUGGGGUUGGCAUAAUUACAGAUUAUUUGAAUUUGAUUUUGUUUAAACCUAUAUCAAAAUUUUCCAAAUUGAAUAUCCAUAUGCUAUUUGGGAAGAAAAGCUUGAAAAGUUCACAACAAAUUGAUGUCAUAAAGUAUCAUUUUUUUUUUAGACAUGGAUAGUCAUGCUUAUUAAACCUGAGUGGGCUGUGAUCAAUGCUUAGAAGGAAGGAGACUAGAGGGAGGCCCCCUAGUGGUGGGGGCUAAGAUUAGGGGUGCCUGGGCAGCAAAGCACCAGGAAUCGAUGCCACAGAUUCUUCAAAACUCCAAUCAAAUAGAGUGAGGAACCCUUCGAAUUUUCUUUUUGGUUGCAGGGUGCUAAGGGUGAGGAGCAUUGACUUUAAGAUUUCCUGUCCUGCCAAGCAGGUGGCAGGUGCUUCAGUUGAUCCAGCAAGAUCUCAUCUCUUUUCCAGCCCUCCUUUUCCCAGCGUGCUCCCUGCACACUUCUUCAAAAGUGAAGUCAAGGCUCCCUUUCUCAUAGUGUCAUCCUUACACCUCAGGCCAUAAGACAGCUGUGUCCACUGAACUCCAGCAGAAUUCUUUCCAUCAUCAUCUGGUACUUGAUAUUCAUUCUGCCUUGAGGCACGUCUUAUAAAGUUAUUUUUAUUGUUAUUUAAUUUUUCGUAUAUUAGUGUAUCUGUCAGAUGUGGCUAGCAGUAGCGGGGAAGAACAAAAUCAAGAAAGAAAACUUCAAAUAAGGCCUUGCCAAGAAUAAAACACAAUUGACGGCAGGUUUCCUGGUUGGCUGCACUCACCCCUCAUUGCCACUGUUUCUGCUCAGCUCUGCUUGUGUAAUUGCCCCUCAGACCAACUUCUGAGGUGAUACCUCUGGACAUUCAUGGGUGUCUCAUUUUGUCGAGUGCCUUAGUGCUUCAUUUGCCUUGGUUUUGGUGUCCCAAAAUCUCCUCAAUAUCUAAUCUCAGUUUCCCUCAAUAAUUUUUGGGGGAACCUGUCAUUUGCCAUGUCCAUGUUGGCAAUGAAAUUGAUACUUAAUAAGAAUUCCACCCCAUCUUUAAUACAAACACACAAUCUUUUUAUCCCUUACUAGACUAUAAAUUCUUUGAAGCAAUGGAUUAUAUUUGAUGAUGAUGAUGAUGAUGAAGUUAAUGAAAAUAACACCCCAGGCAAUGUUAUUUAUGAGUUCAUAAUACAUGCUGUAAUCUCUGCACGCUGCUACCAAUCCUGACACAACUUCAAAAUAAGUAUUACCAUUCUGCCAUCACAGAUUAGGGAGGAGACGUUCAAAGAGGUUUAAGAGGCAGAUCAGAUCAAGUGUCGACGCUCGGUUUUGAAGCAAUGUCCAUCUGAUUUUCAGCGCUGCCACACUUAUAUCCUAUUCUUAUAUAUUCUUAUAUCCUAUCCUAACUCAGCACUUCUUUUCAGCCCUGGGGCCCAUGCCAUCCCUUCAAGUGCUCUAUCCCCUAGUCCCAUACAUAUGAAGUUCUAGGCUAAGCCUUUUCCAUACAAACUCUCAGUUAAUUCCAACAAGAAUUCAACAGAUGGGUUACUGAAUUUAAAAAUAUUUAUUACAUUUACUUCCCCCAAACACAAUGGAAACAGGAGGGCUAUAUAGUAUAAUUGAACCAAAGCUGUGUGUGUGUGUGUGUGUAUGUAUGUGUGUGUGUGUGUGUGUGUUUUGUUAUGAUGCAAUAGUAGUUAAUGAUUUGAAAUAAAUAAAUAAAUAAGCAAUGUGUUGUUAAACACCAGAUGUAUUUCAAAACUCGUUUGACAGAAAAUUGCAAUGAUUCUAUUCAAUGCUUAUGGCCAGUUUUGUGUUUGUUUUUGUUUUUUGCAAAAAUCCUAGUAGUAUGAACAAAGUCAAGGAAACCAGUUGCAGCAGGUAAAAUACAGAGAAAAAAUUAACAGCAUUUCAUUAGUAAAAUAAAAUAAUACAGCUCUCUAUCAGCAAGUCCUCAUUUGCCUAAAGCAUCUUCUUUUGACUGAAUUUAAAAUAAUUUUCCAAUAAUAUCAAAGAAAAGAGGUGCAUGCUACACAUGCAAAUAAGGCAUUAAUUAAAAUGGCUUCCCUUUAUGCUUCAUUACUAACUGCUAAACAGAGCAUAUAAAAUAUCAUUUAUAAAUAGAAAAAUCCAGAACACAGGGUAAUAGGGAAAUAAAUGGCCUUGUAUUUCUUUUGUACGUGAUAAAAAGCAGAUGAUGGAGUACCUGAUCUGAGAAAUCCAAAAUGUUGUCACAGAUUUAUACUUGUGUUUACUCUGCCCAUAUAACAGAGAGAUAUCCCAAAUGGCCAAUAUCAUAUGUGAAUUCAAGCCUGAGUCAGAGGACUGCAGUUCUUUAAAUCAAUUCACUGGGAAACUAGUCCUUGACCUAUAAAGAAACAUUCCAAAUACAACAAAUGCAUGAGCCAGCUUAAAUCCUUUCUGGAAUAAGAUGGGGAAUAUAUAGAUGAAAAAACAGCACAUGAAUGAAUAUGAAUACAUAAAUCCACUUUCAAAAAUAUUUCACAGAGCUGCUUCUUAAAAAUGUCAAAUGGUGACCAAAACACAUUUCAGCAUGAAAAAACUAUUUCUGUUCCACUCGGGACACAGAUCCAUUGUAUUUUCUGAGCAUGGCAUAUGGAUUCGGAUGACAAAGAUAAUAAACAUUCCUGUAAAAAGUUACUCCCUCAUGCACAAGCCAUGGUAUUCCAUUGUAUUAAACUCAUCAGUCCGCCACUUUUGUCUAAAACAUGCGAAAAGAGAAAACCACACCCAUGUCUCCUGAAAAGUACUAGUCAUAGAAAUGACUUUCCCCUCCUGAAAGCUCACAAUGAUUCCUGCAGUGCCCAAUGCUCUCAGUUUUGUCCCUGUCAAGUACAGCUUGGAGGGGGGUCAGGGAAAAACACGUUUUCUAAAAUGCAUGAAACUAGCUUUGUGAAGUGAAAGACAAACUGUAUCUAUGUGCUGGAUGAUAAACCAGUACACGCAUAGUUGAAUAGUUAAUAUUUCAAGUACAUGACUAUUUGAAUUUUUAAAACUGCCCUCCUCUUACAAUAGUUAUGUUGCAUAUUAUUGCCAUAGUCAAAGGGUUUUACCCCUGGGGUUUUUUGCAAAGGGUUUUUACCUACUCUCAAGGUAAUUUAUACAAACACUUCUCUUAUUUUGAAGGGGACAGGAAUAGUUUUAUUCAUUUAUUUAUUCAUUUGUUCAUCUUUCCAUCCAUCUAGUCAUUUAGUUCAUCUAUUUGAAACAUAUUUUGAGGAGCUAUUUUGUGUACAAGACACACGUAGUGGCUGGAGAGAAAAGGCAGAUAAAACAUGCUCAUGUAUAACUAUAAUCAAAAGAGAAGGUUAUUAUGCACCAAGAGAUGUGUAAAUUGUUUGGGGAGAGCCGAGGAAGGAGAGAUGCAUUCCAAAUAAGGGACUUGAAGUGGGGCUCUUUAUAGAAAGUGGCCUCUGAAUUGGUUCUUGAAUAAGUUAAUUUAAGUACACUUAAUAAUUUAAUUUUAAUCUAAGCUGGUUAAAAUCAGACAUGCAAUCAAGCUUCUCCAUUCAUACAGAUACAUGUUUUAAUCUCUGACUAGUUAUUUAUAUUUUGAGCCAUGGUAUUGUCUAAUUUGAAGAGAAUUAUAAGCUAAAAUUAUAUGUUUUGGGGUUGGAUAAAACUGGGCCAAAGUUUUGGUCCCUCUACUUAAUACCCAUGUGGUCCUAGUCCCACUUCUUAACAUCAGUGUAUUUACAAUUUCAUCAUUAAUUAAUGGAGAUAAUAAUAGUGCCUAUUUCAUGACAUUUUUUGUAAAAAUUAAGUUUGAAAAUGUAUUCAAACAUUGGCGAACAUGAGUUGGCACCUGGCAGAAAGGCAGUACAAUUAUUAGGCACUACUCAUUGGCUGUCCUCAUGGAACUCAGGAGAUGCCCAAGAAAAGAUGUGCCUCAAAUACAAAUCAAGGCCUGUAAUUAGCAAUGCCUGCCCUUCUACUAGAGUUUGUGCUCAUAGCCACCUUCACUAUGUAUUUUUUCAGUCUCUGACACCUAAAUAGUACACUACAUCUCUUCGACAGCAGACCCUUGGGUUCGUUAUUCUAUUUCAGUUUCACCUGCUUUUAGGAGAUGACUGUCUAGCUCUUCCUGAUGCUACACAAAGCCCCCCAAUGCCAAUGUCUUUUAUGUCACCUAGCCUAUAAUUGUAACUUGGAUGAUCCCAAAGCUACACUGCAAAUUCAUGAAAACUCAUACUCAGCUGCUUCUGUAUCAUACAGUUAGCAAACAGAUAUCCAGAAACUUUACUUAUACUAUUUAUUAUUAUGUUUCUUGAUUCAUUCAUUAAAUUCAAGUUAUAUGGUUAUAUAACCAAAAUGUAGUAAACUGCAAAUAUUAGAUGCCCAGUAAAUACUUACUGAGGAGUAAAGGCUGUCUCAUGGAAACAGCACUUUCUACUAUGGGCCAGGUUGGUAAGGAAUAAACCUGCACUGUCCAACAUGGUCCCCACUAGCCAUAAGUGGUGAAAAGGCCUUUGAAACAUGGCUAGUCCGAACUGAGACAUGCUCUAAGUAAAAAGUACGCACCAGAGUUUGAAUAUGUAGCAUACAACUAAAAAAAGAAUUUAAAAUAUUUCAUUAAUUUUUAUGUUGAUUACAUGUUGAAAUGAUAAUAAUUUAGAUAUGUUAAGUGAGAUCAUUAAAAUUAAUUUGUCUAUUUCUUUUUACUUUUUUCAUAUGGUUACAGAUGGGGCUUAUAUUAUAUUUCUAUGUAUCUCUCAUCUUGACCAAGAGACGGGCCUGUACCAAGAGCAGAGGAAUAACAGGUAGAAGGAAUAAACCUGCAUUCUCAUCGAGGAGGCUCUCAGGGAUCUCACAGAGAGGUGCUAGAUAAACUCCAGGUGUCCUCCACAUCUCAGCAGGAAGCUAACUCAGUAUUCUCUCCUGAUUCAUUUACUGGAGUGAUAAACCCACACUCCGUAUUUAAUGAUGCCAAAUAGCUCCUUAUUACUUGUGGAUUCAAGAAACUUCUGUAGCUGAGCACCAAGGAUAUUUUCCAACAUUAUUUGAUGCCUUGUGUUUUGGCAAAAAAAAAAAAAA